rnacentral:rRNA from 1 species
UUUAUUAGAAGAGACGCAUUUAUUAGAUAAAAAGCCAAUGCAUGCUUUUACAGUAUGAAAAUUGGUGAUUUAUAAUAACUUAGCAAAUCGCAUAGUGAAAACAGGCGAUAAAUCAUUCAAGUUUCUGACCUAUCAGCUUUCGACGGUAUGGUAUUGGCUUACCGUGGCAGUGACGGUUAACGGGGGAUUAGGGUUCGAUUCCGGAGAGGGAGCCUGAGAAACGGCUACCACAUCUAAGGAAGGCAGCAGGCGCGCAAAUUACCCAAUUCUAACAGUUUGAGAGAGGUAGUAACAAGAAAUAACAAUACAAGGCAGUUAAAAUGCUUUGUAAUUGGAAUGAUAGAAAUUUAAACCCUUUUUAAAGUAUCAAUUGGAGGGCAAGUCUGGUGCCAGCAGCCGCGGUAAUUCCAGCUCCAAUAGCGUAUAUUAAAAUUGUUGCAGUUAAAAAGCUCGUAGUUGAAGUUCUGCUAAAAGUAACCGGUCUGCUUUGAAUAAAAGUGGUAUCUUGGUAUGUAUUUAGCAAUGAUGUCCUUUGAAGUGUUUUUUACUUUAUUGUAAUAAAGCAUAUUCAGGAC